rnacentral:lncRNA from 1 species
AAAUAAAAUGAUGUCACUAUAAACCUUGCCAAGAAUCUCAUUGUACAUUGGAGAAGAAAACAUAUAGAUGUGAUAUUUCACUACUUGAGAGAGCUUGUGAGUGAAUAAAAAUUGGAGUUGGGGAAAAUUGAAGAUCAAGUUGCCAAUUUGCUAACUAAAGGAGUGAGAACUGAAGUGUUCAAGAGGUUGAAGAAGCACAUGAGUAUGGAAGAAUUCAUGGACUUGAAUUAAGGUGGUGUGUUGUGAUAUUUUGUAAUUCAAGUUGAUGUAAC